rnacentral:lncRNA from 1 species
UCAUGUUAGCCAGAAACCUAGACUCAAAUUUAACUAAGAAAUGAAUUUACUGGGAAGAAAGUAGAUGACCCAGAAUCAAGAGGAAAUGUUAACAAUCUGGUUUAGAAAGUGAGAGAGAACUAAAGGAAACUAAUUUAGCUGUGCGGCAAUCAAUUAAUGCCAUGCUAAAGAUCCCACAUUCAUGCCACUGCUCUCUCUGCAGGUGCUGCCCUCGCCCAGGUGGAGCCACAGCUGCUGGUGCUCAAGGAACAGUCCUCUACCAACAAGCUUCCGUGAAUCUCUCUGGAGUCAAUGUCCCAGGGUGAAUUAAGGGUGAUAUCCUGGCAGCCCUUGAGCAGGCUGAAACGUCACACCUUGCUGAGGUCUCUUUAAGCUUAUGGAAAGUCUACCAAUCAUCGGUUCCCCAAAUGCUCUACAAAAUUCUCCUAAAAGACAGUUACUCUUCCAUUCAAGGUAAAAUGUAUGCAUUUAUUCUUUCAAAAUUAUGUUUGUGGCAUAUUUUUUACUUUUCCUUUAUCCCAGAAAAGCCAAGUG